GCCCUAAUAGCUCAGUUGGUAGAGCAAUCGCCUUGUAAGCGAUAGGUCGUCUGUUCGAGUCAGUCUUGGGGCACCA
rnacentral:tRNA from 1 species